rfam:Ruminococcus sp. CAG:353 genomic scaffold, scf335
UGAUAUGCGAUGAAGCGGAAGGUUGCUUACGGUAUGUAAGGGAAUUUCCGCAGAGUAUGUCCGAUUUUAAACCGGGCGGCUG